GUUAGGAAUAUUGGACAAUGGGCGCAAGCCUGAUCCAGCCAUGCCGCGUGAACGAUGAAGGCCUUCGGGUUGUAAAGUUCUUUAGCCGAUGAUUAUAAUGACUGUAGUCGGAAAAUAAGCCCCGGCUAACUUCGUGCCAGCAGCCGCGGUAAUACGAAGGGGGCGAGCGUUAUUCGGAAUCACUGGGCGUAAAGCGUGCGUAGGCGGUCUCGUAAGUUAGGAGUGAAAGCCCAGGGCUCAACAUUGGAAUUGCUCUUAAAACUGCAAGGCUAGAAUCUCGGAGAGGAUAGCGGAAUUUCCAGUGUAGCAGUGAAAUGCGUAGAUAUUGGAAGGAACACCAGUGGCGUAAGCGGCUAUCUGGACGAGUAUUGACGCUGAGGCACGAAAGCGUGGGGAUCAAACAGGAUUAGAAACCCGUGUAGUCC
rnacentral:rRNA from 1 species